UACGUAGGUGGCAAGCGUUGUUCGGAAUUAUUGGGCGUAAAGAGCUCGUAGGCGGCUCAGCAAGUCGGUCGUGAAAACCCGGGGCUCAACCCCGGGAGGCCGGUCGAUACUGCUGUGGCUAGGGUCCGGUAGAGGAGAGUGGAAUUCCCGGUGUAGCGGUGGAAUGCGCAGAUAUCGGGAGGAACACCAGUAGCGAAGGCGGCUCUCUGGGCCGGUACCGACGCUGAGGAGCGAAAGCUAGGGGAGCAAACAGG
rnacentral:rRNA from 1 species